AGGUUCCUAUUUAAGCCUCCCUGCUAAGAACAAAAAAAUAAAGAGCUCUUCCUGGAGUUCUCUAUAGUGUUCUUUUACAUUCUACUACUUCUCCAUGGCUAUGAAGCUUCACCUCACAGUAGCAAUAUUACUCCUCUGUGUCCUCACUGAGGUUCCUCUUCAAAAAACAGUGGUGGUGGAAGCUGACCUGGUGGUUCCAAGAGAUCCGAACAACAAACCGGCCCCUAUCCUUGGUUGGUUUUCUUCUUUUUUUUUUUUUUCUUUUUCUUUUUUCUCUAUUAUUUCUUGUUGUGUCGUAUGUUAGAGCUCUUGGUACUUCUCAUUUACUUGCUUAUUAAUUUUAUAGAUUAGGCCUAGUUAAUAGAUUAUGUUUCUGUUUUCUCAAUACAAUUACUAAUAAAACAGCAUUCAUUACUGAAUCUUUUCAUAUAAAGACUUAACUAAACUUAAUCUAAUUUUAUAUCAUUGAACCGACCGUUUCUAGAGUAAGU